rnacentral:rRNA from 1 species
AAAUGACUCUCGGCAACGGAUAUCUCGGCUCUCGUAUCGAUGAAGAACGUAGCGAAAUGCGAUACUUGGUGUGAAUUGCAGAAUCCCGUGAACCAUCGAGUCUUUGAACGCAAGUUGCGCCUGAAGCCUUUCUGGCUAAGGGCACGUCUGCCUGGGCGUCACACAU